UAAAUUUUUUUGUUUAACGACGUCUUCCCAACAGUAACAUUUUAAUUACUUUGAAUUUAAGAAUUUAAUACAAUUGCAAUAAUUUCCUUCAUCAGAGAGAACAGUAAUUUUCUUUUGGCUCAUUGCCAAACAUUUAGUGAAUAAGAGGAAUGAUAGAUUUUUUUGCCACAAAAAUUGUAGAAAGUUUAUUCAGAAAAGAACGAACAUGUUUUUUGUGGUGUUCUCGAUUCGAACAAAUUAAAUAUUAAAAUUAAUUUUAUCAAAACCAAUCUGCAGCAAAAGAAAGCAUUAAAAUAUAAAAUUUAAAUUUAAAUAACUUUAAAUUUGAAAUCUUCUUUUGGAAAAAAAUUGGCCAUACCUGCUGUGGUUGAUUAACCUUGCACGGUGGAAUGAAAAUGACAGUUCGCGCGAGCCUGCCAUUUGAACGGCUGUGUUUUUUUUUCGUGUCUGGCCGAACCGGCCGGAACCAAAUUGAACCGUAAUUCCGGCGUUUUAUCAACCUGGACCGAGGCAGUUGGAGUUGUUUGGCUCCAUCGCCCUUGUCGCGACUGCAGGAUGCCACGAAUUAAGAAUCGGGAGCCUGACCAAAGUUUGGCGCAGGAUGGCCAAGACGUGGAUUUUGCUCUAUACCGUACGCUGGUUAGAUGAGAUCCGGCUGGAGAUGGCUGCUCCAAGUUUUUUCCGGUCCCGGUCCCGGUCGCGGAAGCCGCGAUUGCAGCAGGUCAAAUUAAAUAACGUGUGUUAAGUGAAUUACGAGUGAAAAGAAUAAUAUUGUGAUAAUGUGAAUAAAUGAAGUUUUUUUUCUGAAAU